UUGCUAUAACUUCAUUAAAUGGAACACUGAUUGGUUGGUUGUUCUGUGUUCUACUUAACAAACCUGCUUGGGUAUUCCUCAGUC